AUUGAACGCUAGCGGGAUGCUUUACACAUGCAAGUCGAACGCGUGGCGGACGGGUGAGUAAUAUAUCGGAAAGUGCACAGUAGCGGGGGAUAAAUACUCGAAAGCGUGGCUAAUACCGCAUAAUAUUGGAGAGGCCGAUAUCGGCUUAGCGAUUUGGUGGGGUAAAGGCUCACAAGGGCAACGAUCCGUAGCUGGUUUGAGAGGAGGACCAGCCACACUGGGACUGAGACACGUCCCAGCCGCCUACGGUAGGCAGCAUGGGGGAAUUUUGGACAAUGGGUGAAACCCUGAUCCAGCCAUCCCGCGUGUAUGAGAAGGCCUGCGGGUGGUAAAGUACUUUUGGCAGAGAAGCGUUAUCUGCAGAAUAAGCACCGGCUAACUACGUGCCAGCAGCCGCGGUAAUUC
rnacentral:rRNA from 1 species